UACAGAGGUCUCAAGCGUUGUUCGGAUUCAUUGGGCGUAAAGGGUGCGUAGGCGGCGCGGUAAGUCGGGUGUGAAAUCUCGGAGCUUAACUCCGAAACUGCAUUCGAUACUGCCGUGCUUGAGGACUGGAGAGGAGACUGGAAUUUACGGUGUAGCGGUGAAAUGCGUAGAUAUCGUAAGGAAGACCAGUGGCGAAGGCGGGUCUCUGGGCCGAUACUGACGCUGAGGAGCGAAAGCGUGGGGAGCGAACGGG
rnacentral:rRNA from 1 species